UAGGGUCAUGGGUGAUCUGUCAGGUGGCUGCUAGAUUGUAAACCGCACCUGCAAGACAGCGUCGCCUCGGGAGGAUAUACAUUUUGUAAUAGAUAAAUUGAAUUGAUUAAAAACUACAAAUGUCCACGGAAAAACUACCUGACUGUGGGCAGCGUCCCAUCUUUAGUAUUAUCUUCGUGGGAAAUUACCACCACCCACCUCGCGCAUGCUGGCAGAAUUAGGCUGUAGUUGUUAGUCAUCCUCACCAGCCACACUUUAAUUAUUUCUUUUUUAAUUAUCUUUUCUCUCCUCUUCCUUUCUGCAAGGUAACACAUCACGAGUGAGUCCUUUGUGAUGUACCACAAUUUCUUUUUUUAAUCAACCUCGAGAACACAUAAAGGACUAAAAAUCAGACUUCUUCUGAUGUGUGGACAUCAAAUAUUUUCAGGGCGAGAUGGAAAUCAUUUGGGAUUCUCCAAUUUUGAUUCUAAAUCGAAAAAUUAGUUAAAAUGAAAUCAUAACGUGGUCAUUAUCAGGAUUUGCAAUUCUCCUAGUCUUUUUUAACAUUUCUUCCCACCUUCGCUUUCAUGUCAAAGACGACACACCUAGCUUACCACCAGCAGCCUGGAUCCGAACUCCCAGACACUCCUCCUUUGUGCACCAAGAUGAUUAACUGAGUCAUACCCGAGAGAUCCCGAGCACUCCCUCAAAGGGGCCUCUAGCUCCGUCGUUGGCCCCUCCCCUGCGAGCGAAGCAGCCUCCUGAGUGGUCACCGUCUGUGGCGGACUUGGCAUUUUCCCUCCCCGGGCCCCUCCCUGCUGCCGUUUGAAUUUGCUAUGAAUCAAACCUUUUGCCAUCUUUUUGAGAUGUGGCUCCGAGCUGCCAUAAAUAAGACAACAAUGUUUCCGGUGAACUGAUGCACAAAAUUAGAACUAGUGCAGAUGAGGUCAGGCUGGCCUGGAGCUGAGUACAAUAUAUUUUAAUAUAGUGUCGAUUCAAAUUUCUUUUUUCACUUAGGCUCAUAAGUGGGUCAUAAAUGCAUCACAUCACUUUGUUUGACAUGUUUGGCUGAACCGAAGAGUUUAAAGCUCAUUGAUGUUGACAUUACAAUUAUAAAUCAAUAUUUAAAAGCCGUGCAGCUUCGUUUUUUUUUUUUUUUUUUUUUUUUUGGCAUGUCUAGUCAUUGUGUUUGAACCUCGUAUUUCUGGACAGUUGCAGAUAAAGAUAAGGCCUCGCUAAUUGUGCUUUCACACCUGUAGUUCGGUUCAUUUGGUCCGCACACUUUUUUAGAUUUUAGUUCUGGUCCGAAUCCUGUUCAUACCAACUUUUGAUGUACGAACCAAGAGAAAUAAACAUGAAGCUAUACAGUC